rnacentral:misc_RNA from 1 species
CAGCAUCCCGUACCACGGGACACACCGGGGGAUUCGGAGUCUGCUACUGCUCUCUAAACUCUCCCCACCGCCCCUGGAAAGCGACGCUAUAACCAUCGACUGGAGAAAUGAAAACUAUCACGUUCCUGCCAAUGACACAACGUACAGCUGUCGAGUCUUUGACUUCUCUUCUCUCCAAAAGAAACACCACCUAAUCAAGUAUCGACAUUGUCUGUAGUUCGAGGUACAAGUUCAGAAAGGCCAUGAAGUUUUAGUACAUCACCUGGUGGUGUACAAAUGUCCCGGAAUCAACAGGAACCUGGUGAACUCCCCCAACUAUAUUUGUAACGAAGAUUCAGACAAAACCAAGCAACCGUGUGGCAAAAUAGUGGCCAUAUGGGCGGUAGGGGGAGAGGCGUUCUACUUUCCCACGGAGGCAGGUCUUCCGGUGGCUGAGCCUGGCGACACUGAACUCUACAUCAUGGAGACCCAUUACAAUAACCCAGAGCUCAAGAGUGGUAUGGUGGAUAACUCUGGCAUUCGAUUUACGGUGACGCCCACUUUACGACUACAUGAUGCGGGGAUCCUUGAAGUUACAGCCCCUGUGGAUACAAACCUGGUCAUUCCGCCACAUCAGUCCAACUUUGUAUCCAGUGUUUAUUGCAAUGAGUCCACUGUGACUGAGUUUCUCCAAGAGUACCCUAAUGGCGUCAAUGUUUUUGGAGUACAGCAGCAUGCUCAUCUUCUCGGUAAGGCAAUUAAAACAAGAGUCAUCCAUAAGGGAGUGGAACAAAAACCUCUAGCAGACGAUAAAUACUACGAUUUCAACUAUCAAGACUUUCGCCGGGCAAACAGAACUUUGAGGGCCGGAGACAGUUUGAUAUUAGAGUGUACAUAUGAUUCAACAGGACAAACUAAUGUCACAUACGGUGGAUAUUCUACUCAGGAGGAGAUGUGUAUUGCGUUUAUUUUCCACUACCCCCGGACGCGGCUGUUUAACUGUCAGAGUAAGCCCCUGUAUAAAAGGUUUCACACAGGGCCCGUGGUCGGAUGGUGGAGCUAUCUGGCCCCCCUGACCAGCACGUUUGACGCCAUUGACUGGACAAACGCCAGCGUGAUCCGGGAGUUUAAAGACAGCCUGGAGAACGACCAGUAUUUCUACGUCUACGGCCAUGACAGUAACCAGUAUAACUAUACGAUGAUGGAUCCAAAGUCUAUGUACCCCAAUGUUCCGUACACUGAGCCCCCCAACACUCAAUGCGGAGUCUGAAUUCAACAGAAAGUCUGACAGAUGAUAGAUAUAGAGAGAGAAAAGUACACAGAGCUAUCCCGGCCUAUUGAUUUUCUCAGUUUUUUACAGAUGCAUAGUUUUGAAUCAUAUCGAUGUAGAUUUAAUAUUGAAUUGAAAUAAUGAUGGAAUAAAUAAAGUUUGAAAC